AUGGACGAACUCCGACGGUUGGCAUCAGAGCCCAAAUUUAAUAAUAGCUUCUACAUUGAGGAUUAUGCUGGGCUAACUGGUCUUCUGGACAACUUGCAAACAAAUGUUUUCAACAUAGAGGGUGUCCAGAAGCAAAGCAGAACAAGGUGAAGUGCCAGACACCCCCCUUUCCCAUUAGUCUGGCAGAGUGAACAUCACCCACUACGAGGCCCUGGACGUUAAGAAACGAAGAUGAAACGAAGACAUCGCCCCACGACCCCCCUACCUACAUGUUGCAUGUGAUGUCUACAUAUAAAAGCUUGAGCACACUCUGUAAUAGACUGAGUUUUUGAGAGAGAGUUUUUUGAGUUUUGAGAGAUUGAGAAGAAGCUGAUAUAGUACUCUUUUGUUGAACUGCUUUUGUUUUAACUCGCAUACUAAAACAGUGUAACUUGUACUCGUUUUUAUUAUUAAUAAAUCGUAACCACUGAGCAUCCA